UGCAAUCGGAUGUAGGCAGGCAACAACAUUGAGGAGAUCAUCAACAACAUCAGGCUGCAAACCGUAGCCUCUGAACUCUGCACAAAAGAUUUGUGCAGAAUUCCAUCGAAUAACAAAUAUGAAUUUAAAGAGUACAUUUUAUUCUGCAUUUGAUAAGUACAUGCCACAGCUAAUGACGAUGUACCGUGAGAAAGCGGCCCGCACUGGCAAAACUUCUGAAUUGCUAAGAAACAUCUUCAGGACCUAUGAUCUCCUUGUAUGAAGUUGCGAUGUUAACAGCAGACGCACAAUUGCUCUGCAGGCACUUCCCAUCUUCCUGCGUGAAGAUGCUGCUGGAUUUUUUAAGACCUGGAAUGCAGAAGACAUUGACCUGCCAGACCUCUCGGAUACAACUGUAGCUGUUCUCACUGUCUCGAAUGAUACAGUCUCCCUUGUGCAGUUUGGUCCUGCAAUACAUUCUAUAGUUCUUGAGGGAGAGAUUGUGGUAUGUGAUAAACUUUAGCACAGUUAACAGAGACAUUCAUUUUGCUUUUUGGCUUGAUUUAUGCACUACAUCUACAGUAUCCAAAGAAAUUGACAUAUACAUUCAAUUUUAUUCAGAAAGUUGUAAUGGGUUUGGAUUAGGGGUGCACCGAUAAAUCGGCCAGCCGAUCGAUCGGCCCCGAUUUUUCUUAAUUUAGGGUGAUUGGUGAUCGGCCGAUAUAUACAUAUGAAACCGAUCUUAACCACCGAUCUAUUUACCUCCGCGAGUGUCUUAAAAUCAAUUGCUAUUCCAUAUUUUUUCUGCUCUUAGAGACGGCUGACUGAAAGACCCACUCACCGGGUCGAGUGAACUGUAACAACAUCCGGUGUCGCAGUUCACAGGUCACCAGGAGCAGCUAUGUCGUUGGUUUGGAAAUAUUAUACUGUUAAAGAAGGAGAUCAAAAGCU